GUUUGGGUUUGUUUGUCCUCGUCCGCGAAAACAUACAUGCUGAAUACCCAACUUUCAGUCGACUAAAACAUGUCUAAACUCCAGUCGUUUCGUGUGUUUUUAAAUGAGCGUUUAACGGCGGCAGCUGUGGAGAUUUUCGGGGCAGUUGAAGAAACGGUAGCGGAGUACCACGAGGAGAAUGAUCGGUUACGGAGACUGCUGCGGAUCACACCGGAGAUAAAACUAUGUAGGAUAGAUCCUCAAAAGGUUCUACAGCUGGACCAUCGAGAGCAUCCUGACUGGUUGCAUUACUGCCUGGUAUGGCAACUGCUCGGGGCCAAGCUUCCUGCCAUCCAGGACCUCUAUACCAGACGGUGUCAGAGGAAGGCCCUAAAAAUUGUCAGACUUCAGCCACCCUAGUCAUAGACUGUUCUGUCUGUUAAUGCACAGCAAGCGGUACUGGAGUACCAAAUCUAGGUCCAAAAGGCUUCCUAACAGCUUUUACUCCCAACCCAUGGAUUUGUUGGGGCGGUAUGCAAAUUGGUGUGGGUCUAGGGUUUGGUGUUGAUGUGAGCCAUGACCAGCUAUAUAAACCACGCCCCUCUGCAAACACGACUUCUCCGAUGUUUGUGACAAUGCAGUACUUAUUUAAAGAGAAGAGAAUAUUAUGUUAGCACACAUUAAAAUUAAGUGAUGUCACCUUGUCCCCUUAAUAAUGAGUCCAAGUGUUUGACAUGGGGGAGGGAACCAGUAACUUUAUGAUCAGACUUUAUCAAUGUAGAAGCAACAGUCAUUUUCACACUUUGGUCAUCAUACUUUAAUCUGGUUUCCUUCAAAUAUCAUCCAAUUUCAUGAAACACAUACUUCUGACUGCUCAUGGCCUUUAACUAUCCACGUGCUCUGGCAGAGUUCCUGGUCACAUGCUGUUUUCAAUUAGAGAAAUUGGUUCUUGAGUUCAGUUCUGCUUUAAGAAGAUGCAUUUUAGAAAUAGGUGGGUUUAUGACUGUGGCUGUGCCAGCUAGUGACGACUGUCUAAAGGCUCUAUAGAUAACCUUUGCUCCUCGCUCCUUUCCUCCAGACUCCCUGCAGCUCUCUGUCUCUGAGGAGGAGGUUCUCCCUGAGCAGCAGCACUGUGAGCAGGAGUGGAGCCCCAGUCUGGGGCAGGAGAACCCAGAGCUUCCACAGAUUAAAGAGGAACAGGAGGAACUCAGGACCAGUCAGGAGGAAGACCAGCUUCAAGGGCUGGAGGCUGAUUUCAAAAUCACUCCUUCCUGUGUGAAAAGUGAAUGUGACCAGGAGGACCCAUUUCAGUCCUUCACUUCUCCCCAAACCCAGACUGUGGAGAACAGAGAGAGUGAUCCUAAACAAGUGGUUCUCACACCUUUUGUUACUGUGACCCACCUUAAGGGUCUCAACAUUCCCUGUGACCCUCCAGAUAAUCAAAACAAUGCCUCCAGCCACAGCUCCACCUUAAGCAGCGACCCAGCGGCACUUGACAGCAGCCCAUCGUUGGAUCCCAGCCCAUCGAUGGCGGAACAUUCUUCCAGCACGUCUAGAAAAACUCACCACUGCUGUGAAUGUGGUGAAAACUUUGCUCUGAAAGCUGACCUGCAGAGGCAUAUGACUCUCUACAAGAAGAGACUCCGUGAAUGCAGUUUCUGCAGAAAACGCUGCACCUCCACCUGUAAACUAAAGGCCCAUAUCCGCCUCUGUCACAGUGGGAGACCCUGCACCUGCCCUGUUUGUGCCAAGACCUUCAAACUCAAAGGAUAUCUGUCCAAGCACAUGAGGAUUCACACAGGAGUGGGAGAGAAACCAUUUAGCUGUGGAGACUGUGGGAAAAGCUUUAAUUUGAAGGGGAACCUAAAGAACCAUAUGUUGACUCACACAGGAAAUAAAUCAUUUAGCUGUGGAGACUGUGGGAAAAGCUUCAUUCAUAAGUGGAACCUAAGGAGCCAUAUGCUGACUCACACAGGAGAGAAAGCAUUUAGCUGUGGAGACUGGGAAAAGCUUCAAUCAGGAGGGGAACCUACGGAUCCAUAAACGGACUCACACAGGAGGGAAACCAUUUAGCUGUGAUAACUGUGGGAAAAGCUUUAAUCAGAAGGGGUCCCUAAAGAAGCAUAAACUGACUCACACAGGAGAGAAACCAUUUAGCUGUGGUGACUGUGGGAAAAGCUUCAAUCAGAAGGGGAACCUAAGAAACCAUAAACUCACUCACACAGGAGAGAAACCAUUUAGCUGUAAUGAUUGCGGGAAAAGCUUCACUCAAAAGUCUAACUUACUGACGCAUGUGAAAAAAAUACACAAAGGAGGAAAACAGGAUUAAAACUGAAAGAAAGAACAUUAUGACAAAGAUCUAUUUAGUCACAAGAUGAACUUAAAAAGUCAGGAUGUGGACGAUUCUGAGUACACGCUCAGACAAACAUAGCUGGAAUAAGUAAAUGAAGUCUGAGAGAAUGGUCAGAUUAACUGAUGACUAAAAUAUUAGUGCAGAUGGCAUUGUUUUGUUACGUGCAUAGAUGUAUUAUAGGUAAUGAAUGAGUAGGGAACUUCUGAAAUUCUACAGAUUUUGUGGCACAGCAGGAAUACACACAAACCAAAAAGUAAAAUAAUGGAAUUAAGGAAUAUAUAAAUAUUAGGACGAGCCAUGUCAGAGUGGCAUAGACUAAAAUACACUAGAACAGAAUAUAUUAUAUACAUAUGAGAUGAGUAAAGCUGCAUGUAAAUAUUAGGACGAGCCAUGUCAGAGUGGCAUUGACUAAAAGACACUAGAACAGAAUAUAUUAUAUACAUAUGAGAUGAGUAAAGCAGUAUGUAAAUAUUAUUAAAGUGACUAGUGUUCCAUUAUGCAAGUGGCCAGUGAAUUCAUGUCUAUGUAUAUAGGGCAGCAGCCUCUAAGGUUCAGGGUUAGGUAACUGGGUGGAAGCCGCCUAGGGGAACAUUCUCAAAUAUGUGGGUGUAAAACACUGUUAAAAGCACUGUUUGUGUAGGGGUGGCUGUCCCUAGCAUUGCCAAAAGACAAAGAGCUGUGACUGGAUCAGUGGUUCACCAAUCAGGGCCUUGAUGGGCUUGGCAACAGUAACAAAGGGUGAUGUGUAAUGAAACUAGGGUGCGUGUGCCCUGGGUAAACAAUUUUUUUGGGGGGGGGGAUUGGGCAUUUCUUUAUGAGCAUCGGGUAACGUCCUCGGAACAAACCGGGAACUAGACAAAAACCUCCAGGAGAGAGCAUGGCACAACGUCCCAUGAACCUUUAGGGACCAUGACACAACAUCCCAAUAAUUCCUUAAAAACGUCCUCGAGACCAGCCAGGAAUUAGACAGAUCCUCUAGGGAACCAUGACACAACGUCCUGACGACUUUAGGCGACCAUUUUGUGACAUCCUGGGAGGUCCCAACGACUCAUUGUUUACAUGGAAGUUAUGUUAUUCAUUAAAUAAGUAACAUUUACUUUUUUUAUUAACCCAUGUUUUUUUUACAGUUUUUCUGCUACAAAAGUGUGCAAUGCUGUGAUCAAGGCAAAAGGGGGGCUACUUUGAAGAAUCUCAGAUAUAAAAUAUAUUUUGAUUUGUU